CCUUUUGCAUCAUGGUCUAACUAGUUUAACCAAGCAAAACGAAUUUUUAGUUUGACCCCCCGAAACUAAGCGAGCUACUUCAAAACAGCCCCGCGGGCCAACCCAUCUCUGUUGCAAAAGAGUGGGAAGAUUUUCAAGUAGAGGUGACACACCUACCGAGCCUAGAGAUAGCUGGUUAUUCAGGAAAAGGAUCUAGUCCAAUUUUAAACCUAAACUUACCCUAAAGUAUGCCCCCAGGUUUAAAGUUUAUUCAAAUAAGGUACAGCCUAUUUGAAACAGGAUACAACCUAUGAUGCAGGGUAAUGUUAAAUCAUGUGACAAAGUAGGCCUAAAAGCAGCCACCUUACAAAAAGCGUUAUAGCUUCAUCACACACUACAUCAAUUCCAAUCAAAAUCCAAAGCCCUCCCCCCCGUACUGAAUGACCCCAUAUUUAUAUGGGAGACCCUAUGUUAGAACUAGUAACAAGAGUAAAUUCUCCAAUAAGCACGUGUAAGCCGGAAUGAACUAUUCACCGGCACUUACCGUCAAUGAAUUAAUAGUAGCAACAAUACAAGAAAACCCUACUUUACCCAAACGUCAACCUUACACUAGAGCUUUUCAGGAAUGAUUAAAAAAAGAGGAAGGAACUCGGCAAAUAGUAACCCCGCCUG
rnacentral:rRNA from 1 species